rfam:Triticum aestivum genome assembly, contig: Triticum_aestivum_CS42_TGACv1_scaffold_129972_2BL
AUAGAUGAAGAUAUGCACUGGGUUCCGAGUAGCUUACAUUUCUGCAAUCUGCUGGAGAUGCAUUUGCCAAGAAAGCAUCGUCAGUCCU